UAUCCGCGAUGCGAUGACCAUCGUCUGAU
rnacentral:sRNA from 1 species